rnacentral:rRNA from 1 species
AGAGUGAACGCUGGCGGUAGGCCUAACACAUGCAAGUCGAACGGCAGCACAGUGGUAGCAAUACCAUGGGUGGCGAGUGGCGGACGGGUGAGGAAUACAUCGGAAUCUACCUUUUCGUGGGGGAUAACGUAGGGAAACUUACGCUAAUACCGCAUACGCCCUUCGGGGGAAAGCCGGGGAUCGCAAGACCUGGCGCGGAUAGAUGAGCCGAUGUAGGAUUAGCUAGUUGGUGAGGUAAUGGCUCACCGAGGCGACGAUCCGUAGCUGGUCUGAGAGGAUGAUCAGCCACACUGGAACUGAGACACGGUCCAGACCCCUACGGGAGGCAGCAGUGGGAAUAUUGGACAAGUGGGCGCAAGCCUGAUCCAGCCAUACCGGUGUGGGUAGAAGAAGGCCCUUGGGUUCGUAAAGUCCGUUUUAGUUAGGAAAGAAAG